GCUGCGGAGAGGCGGGCCGGGCCAAGCGGAGCCGAGCGAGCGGGAGCGCGGCGUCCGGGAGGCGGCGGAGACGCGGGGCUCGGAGGGUCAGCCUCUUAUCGUAGCAGGUCUCCUCGGCACGCCCCCCUUGUUUCGCCCCACGGCCAAGCCCGCCGCGGGCCGGCGUGCGCUGGUCACUGAGGCCCAGGUCGCCGCCGCGGCGCGUAGAGACGAGGUUUCACCGUGUUAGCCAGGAUGGUCCCAAUCUCCUGACCUCGUGAUCCGCCCGCCUCGACCUUCCAAAGUGCUGGGAUUACAGACGUGAGCCACCGCGCCUGGCCGAGCACAAUUUUAAAAGAACAGUACACCAGCGUAAUAGAGUGUCAAACCACCCAUAAGAAUUCUGACAGUUGAGUCAUUUCAAAUGGGAAACUAAAAAUGUGGUAAGCUCGGCCCGGUGCAGUGGCUCACGCCUGUAAUCCCAGCACUUUGGGAGGCCAAGACUGGCGGAUCACCUGAGGUCGGAAGUUCGAGACCAACCUGACCAACGUGGAGAAACCCCGUCUCUACUAAAAAUACAAAAUUAGCUGGGUGUGGUGGCACAUGCCUGUAAUCCCAGCUACUCAGGAGGCUGAGACAGGAGAAUCGCUUGAACCUGGGAGUCAGAAGUUGCGGUGAGCUGAGAUCGCGCCAUUGCACUCCAGCCUGGGCAACAAAAGUGAAAACUCUGUCUC
rnacentral:lncRNA from 10 species